rnacentral:lncRNA from 1 species
UUUUUCCAAUUAUUUUCCCUUUUCGCUUUUGCAUGAAAUUGGUGAUCAUAAAAAACCUAAAAAAUAAGAAUAAAAUCAAUCUUUUCAUCUGCAUAAUGAUUUGCCCUGUUCGAGUUCUAAAGCUUCUUUUAUAUCCAAAAUCAUUAUGCAGGUUAAUCAAACCCAUUGAACAUAAUGAUCCAACACCAUCUCCCAACUUUG